CGCCCCGGCCAUCGGACGGUUAUUUUUUGGCGCGGCCUUGCCCGCGGCCUAUUUUUGGCAUACGGAGGACCCUCGCAAAGUCUCGCGGCAUUCCGAGUCCGGCGGACGAAGUUGGCCAGCCCCCCCCCCCCCCCCAAGGCUAUAGCCCACCCGUUUUUGUGCCCGUUUUCCGCUGGACGAACUUGGCGCCCCAGCCUUCGGGCGGUUAUUUUCGGCACGGCUUUGCCCGCGGCCUAUUUUUGGCACACGGAGGCCCCUCGCAAAGUCUUACGGCAUUCCGAGUCCGGCGGACGAAGUUGGCCAGCCCCACCCCCCAUGGCUAUAGCCCACCCGUUUUUGUGGCCUUUUUCCACUGGACGAACUUGGCGCCCUGGCCUUCGGGCGGUUAUUUUUGCGUGCGGCUUUGCCCGCGGCCUAUUUUUGGCACACGGAGGCCCCUCACAAAGUCUCGCGGCAUUCCGAGUCCGGCGGACGAAGUAGGCCAGCCCCACCCCCCAAGGCUAUAGCCCACCCGUUUUUGUGGCCUUUUUCCGCAGGACGAACUUGGCGUCCCGGACUUCGGGCGGAUAUUUUUGGGCGCGGCAUUGGCCGCGGCCUAUUUUUGGCACAUGGAGGCCCCUUGCAAAGUCUCGCGGCAUUCCGAGUCCGGCGGACGAAGUUGGCCAGCCCCACCCCCCAAGGCUAUAGCCCACCCGUUUUUGUGGCCUUUUUCCGCUGGACGAACUUGGCGCCCCGGCCUUCGGGCGGUUAUUUUUGGGCGCGGCCUUGCCCGCGGCCUAUAUUUGGCAGAAGGGAGGCCCCUCACAAAGUCUCGCGGCAUUCCGAGUCCGGCGGACGAAGUAGGCCAGCCCCACCCCCCAAGGCUAUAGCCCGUUUUUGUGGCCUUUUUCCGCUGGACGAACUUGGCGCCCCGGUCUUCGGGCGGUUAUUUUUGGGCACGGCUUUGACCGCGGCCUAUUUUUGGCACACGUAGGCCCCUCGUAAAGUCUCGUGGCAUACCGAGUCCGGCGGACAAAGUGGACCAGCCCCACCCCCCAAGGCUAUAGCCCACCCGUUUUUGUGGCGUUUUUCCGCGGGACGAACUUGGCGCCCCGGCCUUCGGGCGGUUAUUUUCGGGCGCGGCUUUGCCCUCGGCCUAUUUUUGGCACACGGAGGCCCCUCGCAAAGUCUCGCGGUAUUCCGAGUACGGCGGACGAAGUUGGCCAGCCCCACCCCCCAAGGCUAUAGCCGACCCGUUUUUGUGGCCUUUUUCCGCUGGACGAACUUGGCGCCCCGGCCAUCGGGCGGUUAUUUUUGGGCGCGGCC
rnacentral:lncRNA from 1 species